rnacentral:rRNA from 1 species
AACGAACGCUGGCGGCAGGCCUAACACAUGCAAGUCGAGCGAGACCUUCGGGUUUAGCGGCGGACGGGUGAGUAACGCGAGGGAAUAUGCCCUUUGGUUCGGAAUAGCCCCGGGAAACUGGGAGUAAUACCGGAUACGGUCUACGGACGAAAGAUUUAUCGCGGAAGGAUUAGCCCGCGUUGGAUUAGGUAGUUGGUGGGGUAAUGGCCUACCAAGCCGACGAUCCAUAGCUGGUUUGAGAGGAUGAUCAGCCACACUGGGACUGAGACACGGCCCAGACUCCUACGGGAGGCAGCAGUGGGGAAUCUUAGACAAUGGGGGAAACCCUGAUCUAGCCAUGCCGCGUGAGCGAUGAAGGCCUUAGGGUUGUAAAGCUCUUUCAGCUGGGAAGAUAAUGACUGUACCAGCAGAAGAAGCCCCGGCUAACUCCGUGCCAGCAGCCGCUGUAACAC